ACUUUAAGGAAGAAUCUUCAAUUACAUUAAUCUCAGAAGCUAUAUUUGGACAGAAUGGAGAUAUUCGCAACAAGUAAUUUUUAGCAGAAUGUACGUUUCCAUGCGCUUAUUCUAUCCCAUGUACAUAAAUUCAGGAAUAAAAAUGAAAAUUUAGAAUGGCUUUGAUGAUAAGAGAUGGUCAAAGUCUUGCAGAAGCAUCAGCUACUCUUUUUAAAGACAUAUUGUUAGGGAGUGAAAAUAACGAUACUUAUAAUAAGCACAUAAUACUACAAGAUAGUCCAAAUCGUAUUAAGAGAUCCUCUGAUUACCCUUUAUUGCCACCUGCAUCUUCAAUGUUUGAAGAAAUUCCGGCUCAUUUAUUUAAACAUCAAAAAUCUGCUGAUUUGAAGAUUUAUUGCCAUUCUGAUCAAAAACUUAUACAUCAUAAUAACUUUUUGCGAAGCAACUCUCCACUUUCUUCUUUGUGGACUAAUUGGGAUGAUAUUUCUAAUAACAAAGGGGAAAAGGUCAUAUGUGGCGUUCCAGGACUUGCUACAUCUAUUUACAUGAAAAGGAGUAAACUAAAAUCGUUAGAAUCAAAUAAAGAAGAAUGGCCAAAUCUAUGGAAAAAGGUGAAAUUUAAUCUACCAAAAGAUGAAAAAGAACAAAUUUACUCUUAUUGUUGUUGUUGCUGUUGCUGUUACAUGUAUGAUUGCUGUUGGAGAUUUCAGAACCCUCUUUCAUCCCUUCCAAUUCCUUCACUUCCUCCAAAUACAAUUGUAGAAAAUAAUAAUCACUAUCAAUCCCCUCAACCAAGAGAUGGAGAUUAUUCAUACGCAUAUGAUUCAUCUGUUUCUCCGGCAUUUUUAAUUAAAUGGAGCGAACAAGAAAAUUAUUCACAAUCGACACACUCCCAUUGUUCUUCUUCUUGCAUAAAUAGAAAAGAAAAUCUAUAUGAGGAAAUUGUUGAUGUACAUGAACAAAUAAGAAAAUUCAAUUAUACAAAGAGACAUCAGUUCAUUGUUGAAAAGGGAUAUUCACAUAUUUUUGAAAGUAAUUCUGAUUCAGAAAUUGGAAAUUUAAUUUUUCCUUCUGCUUCAUUGGAUACUAAGAAAGCUUUCUUAGAAAGAGCGAGUUCAUUUUCCUCAAAGGAUUUAAUAAAGACAUCUCAACAAAUUUCUCUCUCUCUGCAUCAACGAAAUUGUAAAUUUCAUACUUCUUUUAUAUCAAAAGAUAAAAAGGAUGCAUAUUCCCCACAUUCCUCACAUUCUCCUAUUGAGAAAAAGAAUUUAGAAAAUUCUGAACAGAAGAUAAAAAGACUUUUUCAGCGCAUGUUAAAUAUGUGGUCAAAUUGCUAGACCAUUAUUUUAAUUUUAUCAAGUUUCCCAAAUAAAAUAAGGACUCUUCCAGAAAAGGCAAUAAUACCCGCAGUGUAGUCCUUAUGUGCUUCACGUCGUUGCUUAAUUGCGCGAUCUCUCUCCAAGAAGUUGUGGAAAGUCAAGGAGGGCUUCCUACCCUUUAUUAUACCCCAAUGAGGGACUCGUAUAGACCUAAUAAAAGAAGGACUGUAUGUGUAAAGGGAAUUCUAAGAGCGUGUACCAUUUUGGCCCAGAAGGAGACCAAAAUCUUGAUUUUUUUCUUUUGUGAUUUCUACUGGACUCAUAUGAGGUCUUUUGUUCAGCUAAUAUCCUGUUGUCAGAAAGAAGCUAUUUUUAUCGUUCGAGCCCAAAGGUCUUCACUUUCCACAAGCCUUGAAACCCACGCUUAGUUUAAGAAUUUCUAUAGGUAUCCAGAAUUAAACAUCCUAGCCCCCAAUCGAGAAUGGAAGCCUCAAUUCUUCAUUUUGGCCCCUUCAUGACAAGGAAUGAAUCUCAGCAGAUGUAUAGCCUUUGGAAUAAUAUUUCAGUAAUGAGAGAUGAGUAAUUUUUUUAAAAGAUUUUCCAAUUUUGAGAUGACUUGUGUCUCGUUUCUUUCUAUAGCAGUCUCUCCCCCUGAGACGUCAAUCUUUUAGUCCAAAACUGAAGGUAAUUGGGAAACUUUCAGAUUUGGAAAACUACUUCGUAAUACUUCCUCGUCAGAGCUUAAGACUUCUGUUUUACCGAGAUUCACACUUCGGUCUGAGUCAUUUUUAAACAUAUCGAGUUUGGAAAGUUGAAAUUAGAGAUUGGGUUAAGUUUUCUGGAGAGCCUUCAAGAAUCAGAGUGAGGCUGUUUGCGUAGCAAAAUGAUUUGCUAUUGGCUACCACUAAGAAUAAGGAAGGGGGCACGCAACCCUCUAGUCUACAGCCUCUUGUAUUAUGUAACCGGCAGGAAUAACCUUCUAUCUCUAUUUUGCAGAAAGCUCGACCAAGGACAGUGACAAUCAUAUGGACGAACCAGGGAGUAAAUGCAUCUUUGAUUAAUUGCUGAAGUAUAUGAGAAACCAAAUCAAACGCUUUCACAAAAUCUUUCAAAGAUACAAAAAGUCUUUUUUCUCACUUUAUAACUCACUGAUGGAUUCUUGAAUAAUGCCAAAAAUGUCUUCAGCUACUCUCGUUUCGUGAAUCCUUUCUGUUUACUCGGAAUAAUGCAUUGGAGCCCUUUCGCCUUUCUCAUAUUUGGGAACAACACUAAAGUUCCUGAACUAAUGAAAUCCAGAUCACUAUCUUCAUUAAAGGUCUCCUUGUAGGUAUCCUCAAGGAGCGGAGCUAAGUAAAAAGUGAAAGUCUUAAAAAAUCGAUAGGAGUCCUAUGAGGAGAGACGCUAAGAGCUCGGCUCGUGAGAUAUAACGUCAUCCCUAAUAUGAGGAUGCUCUGACGUCAGUGAGCAUCACUCAAUUUUAUUUAUGAUAUUGUGGUAUUAUGUGAUAUAAAAAAACUCGAGUGUGAAAUUGAGGGAACAAAAUUAUAUUUUAUAAGAACAUAGUAACCACAGAUUCAAAGAUCGCCAAUAUCUUCAUCCUAAUUGUCUUGUAUUUUAAUUAAAUAACUGAUAAAUCUAAACCCAUCUUUAACAGAUGUAUAAAUGCAAUACUUUCACUAAUCUAUCUUUUAUUGAGUUACCUUUUUAUGUAUGUAUAUAUAAGCGUUAAAACAGUGUCUUUUAGAGGUCAAGAGAAUAUAAUCACCUUUUAUAUUUA
rnacentral:misc_RNA from 1 species